UACGAAGGGGGCUAGCGUUGCUCGGAAUCACUGGGCGUAAAGGGUGCGUAGGCGGGUUUUUAAGUCAGAGGUGAAAUCCUGGAGCUCAACUCCAGAACUGCCUUUGAUACUGAAAGUCUUGAGUAUGGGAGAGGUGAGUGGAACUGCGAGUGUAGAGGUGAAAUUCGUAGAUAUUCGCAAGAACACCAGUGGCGAAGGCGGCUCACUGGCCCGGUACUGACGCUGAGGUGCGAAAGCGUGAGGAGCAAACAGG
rnacentral:rRNA from 1 species